rnacentral:pre_miRNA from 1 species
AAAAAGACAAACCCUAAGAUUUUGUGUCCAACUUUAACUGUCCGUCUUAUAUGAAAUUUUUUUAUAAUUCGUAUUUUUAUUAUUGUUAAAUGAUAAAAUAUGAUUAAUACUUUAUGCGUGACUUGUCUUUUUAUUUUUUUAUAAUUUUUUUAAAUAAAACGGACGGUCAAAUGUUGGACACGGAAACCAGGGUU